AUUCUGUCACAUUCAUUUGCGUUAUUCUAUGUGACCCAAACACUAAGUCACUAUUCUGAUCAUAAAUAGACUGCAUACUGAUUUCUCCAUGAAGAUCUAAUUUGCUCCUCAAUCUAACAGGUAUGGUGAAAAUAUUCUCCACAUCCAAUUGAUGGACUAUAUAUUCCAACCAGCUACUUUUUCCAAUUUUUUUUUACAGCUAGUCUAAAAUUAUUUCUUUUCUCUGCAAAAGAAACACCUGCUAGAGGCUGGUGAGGAUUUUCUUAUCAUGGAAGAACAUACAAUCAUUUCUGUAUUACAAGUAGUUUGUCAAACUGGGACAUUCUUUUUAUUUUUGUAGUGAGUUGUUCUAGGCAACACAAAAUUCUCUUUGCUUUAAGUCUGAGAUAACACCAAAGGGAAUAGUAAGGUUUUUUUUCACAUUUCGUAAAAAUAUGAUUA